rnacentral:rRNA from 1 species
UACGUAGGGUGCGAGCGUUGUCCGGAAUUAUUGGGCGUAAAGAGCUCGUAGGCGGCUUGUCGCGUCGGAUGUGAAAGCCCGGGGCUUAACUCCGGGUCUGCAUUCGAUACGGGCAGGCUAGAGUUCGGUAGGGGAGAUCGGAAUUCCUGGUGUAGCGGUGAAAUACGCAGAUAUCAGGAGGAACACCGGUGGCGAAGGCGGAUCUCUGGGCCGAUACUGACGCUGAGGAGCGAAAGCGUGGGGAGCGAACAGG